AUACUCUAGUUUCUUUCAGAUCAUAUAAAUCUUUUGCCUUUUAUGAAAGAUUUUCGUGGAAAGGAAAAAUUCUGAGUUCUUAUCAAUUUUUUGAGGACUUGCAUCUGCAGUGCU